rnacentral:tRNA from 1 species
GCCCCGGUAGCUCAGAGGAUAGAGCAGCCGCCUCCUAAGCGGCAGGUCGCCGGUUCGAGUCCGGCCUGGGGCGCCA